GACGAACGCUGGCGGCGUGCCUAAUACAUGCAAGUCGAACGCUUCUUUCCUCCCGAGUGCUUGCACUCAAUUGGAAAGAGGAGUGGCGGACGGGUGAGUAACACGUGGGUAACCUACCCAUCAGAGGGGGAUAACACUUGGAAACAGGUGCUAAUACCGCAUAACAGUUUAUGCCGCAUGGCAUAAGAGUGAAAGGCGCUUUCGGGUGUCGCUGAUGGAUGGACCCGCGGUGCAUUAGCUAGUUGGUGAGGUAACGGCUCACCAAGGCCACGAUGCAUAGCCGACCUGAGAGGGUGAUCGGCCACACUGGGACUGAGACACGGCCCAGACUCCUACGGGAGGCAGCAGUAGGGAAUCCUCGGCAAAGGACGAAAGUCUGACCGAGCAACGCCGCGUGAGUGAAGAAGGUUUUCGGAUCGUAAAACUCUGUUGUUAGAGAAGAACAAGGACGUUAGUAACUGAACGUCCCCUGACGGUAUCUAACCAGAAAGACACGGCUAACUACGUG
rnacentral:rRNA from 1 species